rnacentral:rRNA from 1 species
UACGUAGGGGGCAAGCGUUGUCCGGAAUCAUUGGGCGUAAAGAGCGUGUAGGCGGCCCGGUCAGUCCGCCGUGAAAGUCCAGAGCUCAACCCUGGAAUGCCGGUGGAUACUGCCGGGCUGGAGUCCGGAAGAGGCGAGUGGAAUUCCCGGUGUAGCGGUGAAAUGCGCAGAUAUCGGGAAGAACACCCGUGGCGAAGGCGGCUCCCUGGGACGGUACUGACGCUGAGACGCGAAAGCGUGGGGAGCGAACAGG